AACAACCCUCCCCCCUUAGUGACCUCUCCUUCAACCCGCUCUCCCACCUCCCCCGGGGGGAGGAGCUAUCAGGCCUCACCCGUCUCUUGGCCGGGGCCCAGGGGCGGAAGGACCCUCUGCCCCCCCACCUCCUCCCCAGGUUCAGGUACUGCCGGCCGGGAGACCGUCUGUGAGUGAGGCCCACAGGCCGGGGGGGGGGGGGGGGGGGGGGGGCAGUUGGGCUCAUGGUGAACUCAGAAAAGUGAAACCAUGGAGAUACAUAAAAGAUUAGAUAUAUGUUCAAAAUAUGUUUUGACUAUAAUUAUUAGGUGACAUAUUAUACCAUCAGGUGUGAGUGUGAUUAGCCGCUACAAGCCGUUUUGAAAAUCUGGCUCUUAUGACAUCACAAGUGGGAGUGUCCGCCUAGAUGUGUGUUGGAUGGCUUAUAACGGUUAAUCACACUCACACCUGGUGGCAUGUCAUGGGACCUUUAAGCUUACCUGGAUAUUGUUUUGGUUCCCAGAAUAGCAGAGAUGCCCCUCGGCUUCCAGUGCUGUGUGCUGCCCCGUGUCCGUCCUGGGAAGCCCUAUCCCAUGUGCCCCUGCAGGAGACAGAACGGGCUUCCUCUCCAGAUGCCUCCCCGGAUGGCUCACUUCUGUGUCUGGGCCGUCUUCUUCCCCUCCGUCGCCGUCAGCGGCCUGGCUCUGACCCUGGUGCUGCGCCGCAGCUCCGGGUGUAGGACCACCGCAGCCCGGCGUCUCCUCCUGGCUGCCCUGUUCUCCCUGCGUCUGCUCGGGGGGCUCUGGGGAGCCGGCCUGGCCCUGGCAGAGGACCCCCACGGCGCCGCGGUUCUCCCCGGUCUGCAGGCCCCGUGCUGGGGGGCGCGGCUGCUGUUCCUGCCCCCCUCCCAGGGCUGCCUGGUGCUCCUGAUGACGGCCUUGGCGUGGGAGCACAGGAGCCUCCGGGCGACCCGGUCCGCGGCUCCAGGGGUGGGGCGGCUGUUAGGGGCCGCCUCCGCCGUCCUGGUGGCCGUCGUCCUGGGCGGCAGCGCCGCGCUGGUUCUGACAGCGUACGUGCGGGUCGUCCUGGACGAGGGCGGCCUCGACGGCUCCGUCCGCACGGGGAGGGGGCGCCGUUGGGGACCCGACGCGGCCCGGGUCGCUCUCAGCUGCGCCGGGUACCUGCUGCUAACGGCCUUCCACGGGCUGGUCCUCCGCCGCCGCCAGCGGGACAGGAACACGGCGACCCAGCGGGACAGGAACACGGCGACCCAGCGGCCCUGGCCGGCGCUCGGCAACGCGCACGCCGUCACCUGCCUGCUGCUGGCCAACGCCGCGCUCUCCGCGGCAGAAGCUCUGCUCUGGUUGGCCGAGGGCUCCUCUGUCACGGGUUGGACCGCCCCCAUCCUACAGCCGGCGGGAGGGGCCCCGGCCCUCCUCCUCUCAGCCCUGCCCGCCAUGCUGGACCCGCUGCUCUACGCUCUCCUCCACCUGCAGGGGGCGGAGCCACACCUGGGCCGACCUGGAGAUCGGAAACACUGACCCCCCCCGAUGGUGCAAAG
rnacentral:lncRNA from 1 species